CUCGAGAAAGCUUCACAUCUCUUUAUUUUGUACAGGGUUUGAUUUUUCAAACAACAUCAGGUUGAUUUCUCAAUUUGGUGCGGUUAUUAGGGUUCAUCAGGUUGAUUUCUCAAUUUGGUGCGGUUAUUAGGGUUUGAUUUUACAAACUUCAUCAGGCUGAUCCUUUUGACAAGUUCCUCAAUGUGAAAAUCCUUGAGCAAGGUUGACAGAAUCGAUUCAUUUGGAUUUGGUGUUUGAUGAGGAGGAAGAUGAAAUUGUUUUUAAAUUAUUGAUCAGUGGUUGUAAAGUGCAUCUUACUGGUUACCAUGAUGGAAAUGGUAAUGGUGGAUAUCAAGAGUUAUGAAGCAGCAUCUGAAGCAAACAAGGAAAGAGAUGAUCCCAAAAUAAGGAGGAGAAGGAAGUCGAGGCCAAGAAAUACGAUGACGAAAAGUGAAAAGCGCAGCCGAGCUUGAGGAGCUUGAAUAAAAAGGUGACGAAGCCUCGGGAGUUCCACUUUGCAACUAUGAAUGGGUUCCUCCUGC